CUACGGGCCGCAGCAGUGAGGAAUAUUGCACAAUGGGGGGAACCCUGAUGCAGCAACGCCGCGUGGAGGAUGACGCAUUUCGGUGUGUAAACUCCUUUUAUAUGUCAAGAAAAUGACGGUAGCAUAUGAAUAAGCACCGGCUAACUCCGUGCCAGCAGCCGCGGUAAUACGGAGGGUGCAAGCGUUACUCGGAAUCACUGGGCGUAAAGGGCGCGUAGGCGGGUUGGAAAGUCAGGUGUGAAAUCCUACAGCUUAACUGUAGAACUGCACUUGAAACUUCUAAUCUAGAGUAUGGGAGGGGGAGAUGGAAUUAGUGGUGUAGGGGUAAAAUCCGUAGAUAUCACUAGGAAUACCUAAAGCGAAGGCGAUCUCCUGGAACAUUACCGACGCUAAGGCGUGAAAGCGUGGGGAGCAAACAGGAUUAGAUACCCCAGUAGUC
rnacentral:rRNA from 1 species